rnacentral:rRNA from 1 species
GAUGAACGCUGGCGGCGUGCCUAAUACAUGCAAGUCGAGCGAACGGACGAGAAGGUUGCUUCACUGAUGUUAGCGGCGGAAGGGUGAGUAACACGUGGAUAACCUACCUAUAAGACUGGGAUAACUUCGGGAAACCGGAGCUAAUACCGGAUAAUAUUGUGAACCGCAUGGUUCAAAAGUGAAAGACGGUCUUGCUGUCACUUAUAGAUGGAUCCGCGCUGCAUUAGCUAGUUGGUAAGGUAACGGCUUACCAAGGCAACGAUGCAUAGCCGGCCUGAGAGGGUGAUCAGCCACACUGGAACUGAGACACGGUCCAGACUCCUACGGGAGGCAGCAGUAGGGAAUCUUCCGCAAUGGGCGAAAGCCUGACGGAGCAACGCCGCGUGAGUGGUGAAGGUCUUCGGAUCGUAAACCUCUGUUAUUAGGGAAGAACAUAUUUGUAAGUAACUGUGCACAUCUUGACGGUACCGUAUCAGAAAGCCACGGCUAACUACGUG